rnacentral:tRNA from 1 species
GCCUAGUUAGCUUAGUUGGUAGUGCGUCUGCCUUGUAAGCGCUAGGUCGCGGGUUCGUCCCGCCCGGGGCG